AUUGAACGCUGGCGGCAGGCCUAACACAUGCAAGUCGAACGGAGGCGCGGACGGGUGAGUAAUGUGUGGGAAACUGCCUUGUAGUGGGGGAUAACGUCGGGAAACGGGCGCUAAUACCGUAUACUCUCAGAUGAGCCGAGGUGGGAUUGGCUAGUUGGGGGGGUAAAGGCCCACCAAGGCGACGAGCCGUAACUGGUCUGAGAGGAUGAACAGUCACACUGGAACGGAGACACGGUCCAGACGCCUACGGGAGGCAGCAUUGGGGAAUAGUGGACAAUGGGCGAAAGCCUGAUGCAGCCAUGCCGCGUGUGUGAAGAAGGCCUUCGGGUUGUAAAGCUCUGUAAGUAGGGAGGCGUUACCAACAGAGUAAGCCCCGGCUAACUUCGUGCCAGCAGCCGCGGUAAUAC
rnacentral:rRNA from 1 species